rnacentral:ribozyme from 1 species
AGAAAGGUAUCAGAGUGAAAAGAGCUACCACUGGGAAGAGCUUGACCCCUGUGUCCUUUUUUCUUUUCUAUUCUUUCUUUCUUCUUUCUUCCUUCUUUCCUUCUUUUCUUUUCAAUUUU